CCAGCCACAAAGAAAAAUAAUGUCCUCAGGGUUCCCAACCCAUAGGCAAAGGGGGUUUAGAUGAUGGGAGUGGUGUUUUCAAAGGGCUGGCAUGUGCAUCCUGAUCACCUCUGCCUAUCAAACUCCCAACCCAUGCGCUCCUGUCGUGACACUGA
rnacentral:lncRNA from 1 species